AUGUUAUCAUUUGUUCAGAAGACUGAUAACCCAAAAGUUGCAAAUAAUGGAAAAAUGACAAAACGUGCUAUACACAAUCAGUUGGCAAAGGAAGGAGAAAUAGCAGCUGCUCCACUGUGGGUCGAACGAGGAGGUGGCUCUGAAACGUGCAUGUUGUUGACCUUUACAGUCCGAUGUGUUGCUGAUUGCACCCCCGCAGAACUUGAUGAAGCUUUGCAGUCAGACCCUGUUACCCUGCCUGAGUUGAAUUCCUGCAGCCUCUGUGAUUUCCUGUUGGAAGCUCAGUAAGUCUGAAUCUUCUCACCUCUGUGUUCUUCUGCUCCUUUCCUGGACCACAGGAAUGCUUAUUAUGUUUCUGAGCACAGCCAUGUAUUUUCAGUGUAUUAAAAAUAUUUAUUAAUGCUAUGUGGAUUUUUGGUGGGGAGGGGAGGCACAGUUGAUAACUUACAGAAUAAUGUUGGCCAGAAAUUGAACAUAAUCAUUUUGGAGUUUUUGUAGGCCUUUGUCUAUAUAUAUUCAUGCAUACAUACAUACACAUAUUUUUUUGUGUGUGUAUAUAUAUCUUAAGAUAAAUGGAAUCAUGUUGUUAUACAAUUGUUACAAUAUUAUUAUACCUACUGUAAUCAUUCUAUGUAUCUUCCUUUCUUUACAUAUUAUUUCUUACAUAUUAUUCCUUAAUACUUACAUCACAAUUUGUUUAGCCAUUGCUUUAUUAGUGGACAUUUAGAUUGUUUCUAAUGGUUCACAACUAGAAGCUAUGCUGUAAUGAACAUACAUUUAUAUACAUAUAUAUAUUUUUCUGAACAUGUGUACACAUUUCUGUAGUGUAGAUUCUCCAUAGUGGAACUUAUGAAAGAAAGCUCAUGACUAAUUUUGUGAGACUCUACUAAAUUAUCCUUCAAGAGGGCUGUACUCUUGAAGUGUGCUUUGUUUCCCCAAACCCUAGACCAGUCAGAUCUAGGCUUUAUCACAAGGUAACAUUCAUGUGAAAUGACAAUAUUUGUUCCACAUCACAGAGUAGUCAGAAGAUGCUUCUGUACUGGGAAGCAGGUGGCUGGGAGCUCUGUGGGCCUCAGGCAUCUCCUCAUCACCCCAAAAGUGAAGAGAGAAAUAUUUCAGCACCUCUCACCCAUUCCCAGCAUAGUCAUGGGUGAACUCUGACUCGGACAUCAGCAUAAUAUCAACCUUGAACCUUUGUCCAUCUGAUGAAUGAGAAUAUGCCAUUAUUAUUUGAACAUGCAUUCCUCUCAUUUCCAGUGAGAUUGGUGGUCUUUUUAUGUCUUUUUUU
rnacentral:lncRNA from 12 species